UUGUUUAUUUCUGAUGUGUCU
rnacentral:siRNA from 1 species